AGGCAUAGGGAGGAGACGCAGA
rnacentral:misc_RNA from 1 species